rnacentral:rRNA from 1 species
AGAAUCAACGCUGGCGGCGUGCCUAACACAUGCAAGUCGAACGAGAAAGUGGAGCAAUCCAUGAGUAAAGUGGCGACCGGGUGAGUAACACGUGACUAACCUACCUUCAAGUGGGGGAUAACCUCGGGAAACCGGGGCUAAUACCGCAUAACAUCUUUGGAGUGGAAAUUCUGAAGAUCAAAGGAGCAAUUCGCUGGAAGAGGGGGUCGCGGCUGAUUAGCUAGUUGGCGGGGUAAUGGCCCACCAAGGCUUUGAUCGGUAGCCGGCCUGAGAGGGCGCACGGCCACACUGGAACUGAAACACGGUCCAGACUCCUACGGGAGGCAGCAGUGGGGAAUUUUGCGCAAUGGGGGAAACCCUGACGCAGCAACGCCGCGUGGAGGAUGAAGUCCCUUGGGACGUAAACUCCUUUCGACCGGGAAGAUGAUGACGGUACCGGUGGAAGAAGCCCGGCUAACUUCGCGCCAGCAGCCGC